rnacentral:rRNA from 1 species
GACGAACGCUGGCGGCGUGCUUAACACAUGCAAGUCGAACGGUGAAGCGCCUUCCUUUUUGGUGGGUGUGGAUGAGUGGCGAACGGGUGAGUAACACGUGAGUAACCUGCCCCCUUCUUCUGGAUAACCGCAUGAAAGUGUGGCUAAUACGGGAUAUUCUGGGUCUGUCGCAUGAUGGGUCUGGGAAAGAUAUUGUUUCGGUGGGGGAUGGGCUCGCGGCCUAUCAGCUUGUUGGUGGGGUGAUGGCCUACCAAGGCGGUGACGGGUAGCCGGCCUGAGAGGGUGGACGGUCACACUGGGACGGAGACACGGCCGAGACUCCUACGGGAGGCAGCAGUGGGGAAUAUUGCACAAUGGGCGCAAGGCUGAUGCAGCGACGCCGCGUGAGGGAUGGAGGCCGUCGGGUUGUGAACCUCUUUCGCCAGUGAAGCAGGCCUGCCUCGUUUGUGGGUGGGUUGACGGUAGCUGGAUAAGAAGCGCCGGCUAACUACGUG